GGAGAGAUGGCCGAGUGGUUGAAGGCGACAGUCUUGAAAACUGUUAACCACGCAAGUGGUUCGUGGGUUCGAAUCCCACUCUCUCCG
rnacentral:tRNA from 1 species